AAUGACUGUAAAAGUUAAGAGGUGCAUUGUUAAUACGUUAAAAAUGUUUUGACCAAGUGAAUGCGUAAACACAGAGGCAAUAAUAAAAUAAAAUUUAUUAUAAAAUUCAGCAGCGAAACCGAAAACUAAAAUAAACAAAUAAAUUGAUAUUAAUCAAAAAUUACAUUUAUAAUUUCAUUAAAUCAAAACGAGUUUAUAUGUACAAUAAUUAUGACAAAACUAAUACAUAUUGCAAGUAGACAGAGGAAAAAGCCUUACAAAAACCUCAUUCGCCUUGCCUGCAUCCGUCGAAGCAUCGUGCAUGAUAGCCGGACAGGAUGUCAUUAUUUGAGCAAUCGAAUUAUUGGCGGCUGCUUCUGCAGCAGCAGCAGCCUCAGUGGCCAUACGCACCUUUU